CCGAAUAAUAUAAGUUCAUUUAAAUGAAUACUCGCGAAAGUCUUAGAUCCCAUUAUGUCAGUACCAUUGUCUUUACAAAACAUUAAAGUAUAAACCAUUUUAUUAAUAUUAUUAUAUAAGGUAUCGUUUGAGACGAAAGUCAUAUAUAAAUCAUACUAUUUUAAAUUCAAUAAAAUGUUUAUAAUACACUGGUCAACAAUUUUGACCGAAUUUUUAUUUUCUAGAUGUCAAGGAACUGACGUUAGUUACCAAUUUCAACGGAGUGAAAAUCUCUAGACGUCAACCAGGACGUUGCUCUUUCUGUUCCAGUGCAAAAAAUCGAAAAACAAGAUACAAUUGUCGUAAUUGUCAAAUAUAUUUCUGCUUAGAGCACGCCACGAUGAUCUCUCGUCUGAUAACUAUGGAGACUGAUCGCCAGUGCCUGGUAUACCGUGGCUUCACGUUUUUCUUCCGUUAUACCAUCAAGACGGGUCAACGCUGGGUCUGCAGCAACUUCCCUCGCUGCAAAUCAUACCUCUGUGUCGACGAUAAAUUCUGCGUCAUAGAUUCCAAAACAAAACACAAUCAUUCACAAAAAAAACUAUACUUAUGUCCGAGUGGGAAAUAUAUAAAAGUAUAAACGAUAUACUAUUACGACUACAGAACAAUAAAGAAUAUUUUUUUCACUAAAAAAUCAUUCUUUUUUUUACCAAUAAAUUUUAGUUCAAACGUACAUAUAACGUUACAAAUAGCAAUUAGAUUAGAAGUUCUCAAAAGUUAAAAUUGUUUUUUUUUUUAUUAUCAAUAAAGCUCACCUGAUAACAAUGUCUACUGGGAGAAAGUCUUUAGUGUAUGGAGGAUACACGUUCUUCUUGAGGAGUAUACGACGCUCAGGACAGAGGUGGGUUUGCACCAACUUCCCAAGAUGCAAGUCAUAUCUCUGCGUCAAUGACUGGCUCUUCAUACUCCACUGCAGGACAGAUCACAACCACGCAAAGAAGAAGCUGCAAAUGUGCGCUAACGGCACAUAUGUUAAGAGAAAAAUUAAGUGAAUCACAGUGUAUUAUACGAUUACAAAUAUAUAUUAUGUUUCAACAUUU